rnacentral:rRNA from 1 species
AAGUCGAGCGAACAGAGAAGGAGCUUGCUCCUUUGACGUUAGCCCCUUACGGGUGAGUAACACGUGGGCAACCUACCUUAUAGUUUGGGAUAACUCCGGGAAACCGGGGCUAAUACCGAAUAAUCUGUUUCACCUCAUGGUGAAAUAUUGAAAGACGGUUUCGGCUGUCGCUAUAGGAUGGGCCCGCGGCGCAUUAGCUAGUUGGUGAGGUAACGGCUCACCAAGGCGACGAUGCGUAGCCGACCUGAGAGGGUGAUCGGCCACACUGGGACUGAGACACGGCCCAGACUCCUACGGGAGGCAGCAGUAGGGAAUCUUCCACAAUGGGCGAAAGCCUGAUGGAGCAACGCCGCGUGAGUGAAGAAGGAUUUCGGUUCGUAAAACUCUGUUGUAAGGGAAGAACAAGUACAGUAGUAACUGGCUGUACCUUGACGGUACCUUAUUAGAAAGCCACGGCUAACUACGUGCCAGCAGCCGCGGUAAUACGUAGGUGGCAAGCGUUGUCCGGAAUUAUUGGGCGUAAAGCGCGCGCAGGUGGUUUCUUAAGUCUGAUGUGAAAGCCCACGGCUCAACCGUGGAGGGUCAUUGGAAACUGGGAGACUUGAGUGCAGAAGAGGAUAGUGGAAUUCCAAGUGUAGCGGUGAAAUGCGUAGAGAUUUGGAGGAACACCAGUGGCGAAGGCGACUAUCUGGUCUGUAACUGACACUGAGGCGCGAAAGCGUGGGGAGCAAACAGGAUUAGAUACCCUGGUAGUCCACGCCGUANACGAUGAGUGCUAAGUGUUAGGGGGUUUCCGCCCCUUAGUGCUGCAGCUAACGCAUUAAGCACUCCGCCUGGGGAGUACGGUCGCAAGACUG